rnacentral:rRNA from 1 species
UACGUAGGGUGCGAGCGUUGUCCGGAAUUAUUGGGCGUAAAGAGCUUGUAGGCGGUUUGUCGCGUCUGCUGUGAAAUCUCAAGGCUCAACCUUGAGCUUGCAGUGGGUACGGGCAGACUAGAGUGUGGUAGGGGAGACGAUGGAAUUCCGUGGUGUGAGACGGUGAAAUGCGCAGAUAUCAGGAGGAACACCGAUGGCGGAAGGCAGGUCUCUGGGC